rnacentral:rRNA from 1 species
UUGACAUCCCGGAGACCCUUAGGAAACUAGGGGGUGCUCCAUCUGGAAGAAUCUGGAGACAGGUGCUGCAUGGCUGUCGUCAGCUCGUGUCGUGAGAUGUUGGGUUAAGUCCCGCAACGAGCGCAACCCUUGCCUUUAGUUGCCAGCAGUUCGGCUGGGCACUCUAAAGGGACUGCCGGUGUUAAACCGGAGGAAGGUGGGGGAUGACGUCAAGUCCUCAUGGCCUUUAUGACCAGGGCUACACACGUACUACAAUGGCCGAUACAAAGGGCAGCGACACUGUGAGGUGAAGCCAAUCCCGUAAAAUCGGUCUCAGUCCGGAUUGGAGUCUGCAACUCGACUCCAUGAAGUUGGAAUCGCUAGUAAUCGUGGAUCAGCAUGCCACGGUGAAUACGUUCCCGGGCCUU